UGACUGAGGCUUUCUUCAGUACGAAAGGACCAAGAAAGCAGGACCAAUACAAACCGCACGUCCUAACAACAAAGCUGAAACCAACUCAAACCCAAACUCACCAAAACAAGCCGAAAACAACGGCUUAGUUAGGGUGGCAGAGCCAGGUAUUGCAAAAGACCUAAGAUCUUUCUUACAGAAGUGCAAAUCUUCUCCUUAACC
rnacentral:misc_RNA from 1 species